UACAGAGGGUGCGAGCGUUAAUCGGAUUUACUGGGCGUAAAGCGUACGUAGGCGGGCUAUUAAGUCAGGGGUGAAAUCCCGGAGCUCAACUCCGGAACUGCCUCUGAUACUGCUAGCCUUGAGUCCGAGAGAGGUGAGUGGAACUCCUAGUGUAGAGGUGGAAUUCGUAGAUAUUAGGAAGAACACCAGUGGCGAAGGCGGCUCACUGGCUCGGUACUGACGCUGAGGUGCGAAAGCGUGGGGAGCAAACAGG
rnacentral:misc_RNA from 1 species